GAGCGCAGAGCCUGAGGAGCUGCCUGACCAUGAGAGCGCAGAGCCUGAGGAGCUGCCUGGCCUUGAGGGUGCACAGCCUGAGGAGCUGCUUGGCCUUGAGGGUGCACAGCCUGAGGAGCUGCCUGGCCAUGAGGGUGCACAGCCUGAGGAGCUGCCUGCAGCGGGGCUGGGAGAAGGAGAAGGUGCAGAGGUGCUUCCAGGGGCUGCUGAAAGGCAAGAGCCAAAGAGCUACUCUGAGCACAGAAGGUCACGCGAAGCUUGGCAGGACCUGCAGCAACACGCCAGCGGGAGGAGAAAGCUGAGCUGCAAGGAGGAGAGGGACAGCCAGGCAGACAUCGGAAGGCAAAAGCGGGAUCCCAAGCAGUGGCAGACACCCUCCAAAGGCUCCCUCAACAUCCACAGUCUAAACUGUCAGUCUGACAGGAGCAAUUCCUAAUUGCCAGCUGGAAGGAAUUCCGCAGAGGAGCACUAUGGUUGGGAGCUGUAUUUCCCAUCCAGGCACAAGCUGCUUGUCCUCCCCUCCACCUUGUCCCUAACUGCUGUCCUUUUUUUUCUCUCCCCACCUUUCCCAAGGCAGCUUGAAGAGACUCCUGCAGAAAUGUCACCUGUUGGGCUCAGUUCUGGAACACCUGACUGGCUCAGGGGACAUUCUUCUGAGGAGAAAAGUUUCUAUUUAGCUUUAUACUGAUAGUUACUAGAGUUAGAGAUCAUUAUAGUUGGUAUCGUAUAGUUAGCAUAA